AGUGAACGCUGGCGGUAGGCCUAACACAUGCAAGUCGAACGGCAGCACAGUAAGAGCUUGCUCUUACGGGUGGCGAGUGGCGGACGGGUGAGGAAUACAUCGGAAUCUACUUUUUCGUGGGGGAUAACGUAGGGAAACUUACGCUAAUACCGCAUACGACCUACGGGUGGAAGCAGGGGAUCUUCGGACCUUGCGCGAUUGAAUGAGGCGAUGUCGGAUUAGCUAGUUGGCGGGGUAAAGGCCCACCAAGGCGACGAUCCGUAGCUGGUCUGAGAGGAUGAUCAGCCACACUGGAACUGAGACACGGUCCAGACUCCUACGGGAGGCAGCAGUGGGGAAUAUUGGACAAUGGGCGCAAGCCUGAUCCAGCCAUACCGCGUGGGUGAAGAAGGCCUUCGGGUUGUAAAGCCCUUUUGUUGGGAAAGAAAAGCAGCAGGUUAAUACCCCGCUGUUCUGACGGUACCCAAAGAAUAAGCACCGGCUAACUUCGUG
rnacentral:rRNA from 1 species